rnacentral:lncRNA from 1 species
GAUGGCCCCUGGAUACGGAGGAACAGAGUUAAAGGGGCAGAAACCAAAAGAAGGGAGGCUGUUGAGAGUCACCCAGGGUCAGGAAAGGCCCCAUCGCUACCAUGUGAGGAUUUCCCCAGGCGACCUGCCAGUUGCAGCAGACUUAGGGAGCAGACGUCCAGAGAGAAUGAGAAAGCAGAGAUUACAAGAAUAAAAGAGAAGCUAUCUCUUAGAGUUCAUGAGGCUUGGGGCAAACUCAAAUGCCGCUUCCAGUCGGCGACGAGAGAAGAAUUAGGCACAAACAAGUCAGCUGCAAAAGACUGGGAGCAGGGGACAACAGUCGAAAAGGACGGCUGCCCUGAGCAACUCUACAGUCUCACUUUUAUUGGAUCGAAAACAAUAGCCAACAGAAGGACUGAUGAAGGUCAAACGUUAAUCCCGUCUUGCAGACAAGCAAGAAGGAGGAUAAAGUUUAUAGUUAACCAAGCACAUUCAAAGGACUCAUCUAACUAACAAUGGGCGCUUCUGGGAAGAGAAAGGAGCGAUCACGAAAAGGGAAGCAGGCGGAUUUCGUUCCACCCUGGGCUGACCGGGGUUCCCGGGUGCUCGGCUUCCCUGAAGCAGACGGUGGUCCGCCCUGGGCGGGCCGGGCGGGCUGGGCGUUCCCAGCUGCCUGGCUUCUGUGAAGGGGUGGCAUUCUGCUCUGAGCGAGCCGGGCAUCCCCAGCUGCCCAGCUUCACGGUCGUACAUCAUCCUUCUCCUCAAAGACCUGUUGUCAGUAUAUGUAUUUCUUAAGGCCAUAUCUAAAUGUGCUUGGCAACUAGUAAAAUCCUCCAAGGGUUACAGUUUAAUUAACAAAUUGUUCUGAAAGACCCCUCUUCUAGACAAACCCCUCCCCUAGUAGAUAGAUAGGAUAACUAACUGCUUGUUUGCUUUUCUGUAAACCGCUGGCUAUUAGGUAUGAAAUUAAGUUAGGUUAUUAAUUGUGUGAAUUGCUCUCUUACCUUUCUCUAGCCUCGUGGCUUAUAGAAAUAAUAGAGACGCCAUGAUGACACUCCUCCCUUCCCCCAGGGUUGAAUUCAAUGUAACUGCUCUUUUGCCUUUCUGUAACUGCUUGGCUUUUAGGGCAUGACACUUAACUCCUGUUUGAACAAGAUACCCUCUCCUAAUAGCAGGGGCAUGGUCAUGUAGGCAAGGGGGCUGCAUGGCCACAUAGUCACGUAGACAGGAUGUCUUUCUGCUGAGUAGUAAGGUCUAACUUCCCCUCUUUGUUUCCCCCUUCCCNNNNNNNNNNNN